GAGAAUUAACGCUGCUCACUAAUUAAAAGAGCAGAUUCUAGAGCCCUGAAUCUGGGGCUGGGUUCCACAAUUAUGGAGUGUUUGAGUUUGGAUAAGUUACUCAACUUUUCUAAACCUCAGUUUUCUCGAUUGAACGGGAGAAUAAUAAGAACUACCCAUAGAGUUCUACAAUCAGCAUGACAAGUGAUCGAUAAAAGGUGCCGCAGCCGAUGGUGAAAAGCAGCAGCAAAUGCAACUUCAUAGACUCUGGGGAGCAGGUGGAAGGGCCGUUUGGAGAGGCCAAGUCCAACGCCCUACUUUUACCGACAGGUAAAGUGUAGCCGGGAUAAUAGGGAAGGGACUGGCCCAGAGGCACACAGGGAGUCAACGGGGAGAAUUCCAAUUUAACAGCGGACACUCUAGCUGGGGAGGUUGGGAGUAAAGGCCGGGAAAGGUACAUCCCCAAUUCAAUCGACGCUUGGGGCUGAAGAGUUCCCACCUCCGAGGAACGUGACCUCCGGUCUUCCCACCUUCUUUGGCCUGGCAAGAAGGCGCGACUGUGUGCCUCAGUUUCCUUCUCUGUAGAAUGGGGCCGUGAGCGCCCGAUCGGAGCAGCCGAGAAGCUUGGUGGAUCAGCUCGCGCCCUUCCAGCCCACAACCGUCCUUCCAGCUCGCUCGUCUCGCACUACCCUCAACCCUCCACUCGCGGCCUGCUUCGCUUACCUGCCUUCGGACGCGGCACUCGAGGCCAGGAGGCGCUGCACCAGCCGCCGGACCGCCCACACUGACCGCGCGGCCAUAUUCCCGAACCCGGCUGACGGAGGCAGCGCAAGCGCACUUGCUCCAAAUGACGAGAUGCGCUAGAUGCCACUCUUCCCGGCAGCCUUCGCGGGCUCUCCCGGCCCAGGGUCCGGGUCGCGAACGCCACACUUCCGGCUGUCUUUGCGCGCCGUGCUCGUGUCCAUCCGGUGUCCCCGACGGAACGCGACACUUCCGGUGUCCCGCGCGUGGGGUGCGUAGGGUGGGUUCCUGUUGUAGGACUCAAGCUCCGUGUUCGUCGAGAAAUCCGCCGGGAACACGGGGGAUCUCAGCUGUACCCUCAAGGGGCUUACGUAAAGUUGUAAACAAUAAACGAAGGCAAACGCAUUAAGUCAAAAUAUGACCGGUGUUUAAAGAGUUUGAGCUUCAUGAGGGUCCACAGCUGUGAUUUCUGACAUCUGUCUAGUACAGUAGGUGUACAUGGAGAAGAGCAGCAUGGGAGCAGAAGGGAUUAUGAUCCCCUUUACAUUUGAGAAAACUGAGGCUCCGAGAGGUUGGUACACCUGCUCAGGGUCCCCGACUGAUCCAGGGACGUCAGAAAUCUGACAGUCCCCACACUUGGGGCAGGGUCGGGAAGGAUGGAGCUUCAGCUCCACCCUAGAGCCGUGAGCCUAUACCUUGAAAAAAACCAAACGAGGCAUUUUCACACACAAAGACUGGCCUCUGUGCUUUAGCCAUUUUGUUUGCACUGUCUUAGCUGAUUGACUUAACAUCAAGGCUGCAUACGUGCAUCCAUUCAUUCAUCUAGGUAUUAAGCGCUAGUGUGCUUCU